UACGGGGGGGGCAAGCGUUGUUCGGAAUUACUGGGCGUAAAGGGCUCGUAGGCGGCCAACUAAGUCAGACGUGAAAUCCCUCGGCUCAACCGGGGAACUGCGUCUGAUACUGGCAGGCUUGAAUCCGGGAGAGGGAUGUGGAAUUCCAGGUGUAGCGGUGAAAUGCGUAGAUAUCUGGAGGAACACCGGUGGCGAAGGCGGCAUCCUGGACCGGUAUUGACGCUGAGGCGCGAAAGCCAGGGGAGCAAACGGG
rnacentral:rRNA from 1 species